rnacentral:tRNA from 2 species
GCCGACUUAGCUCAAUUUGGUAGAGCAAUUGACUUGUAAUCAGUAGGUUGUCAGUUCGAUUCUGACAGUCGGCA